ACACAAGGAAGAUUCCGAAGGCAUUCUUUGCUACUUAUAAUUUAAUCAAAUACCCCGAAGCGCUUCUGGACGCUUAAUGAAAUCACGUACGUGACUGCAAAGUGUGUGCGGUCUGCACGCGUAAUAAAUAGAACUCGCACUGGCUUCGUCGCCAGAGGAAAGCUCAUAGCCACGAGCAGCGAUAAACCAUGAAGAAGUUGUGCGUCGUCUUUGCCGUUGUUCUGCUGUGCUCAGCUAUGCUGGCGGAUGCUCAGCGUGGAGGCGGAGGGACUAAAUGCGGUGGAGAAGUCUGUGACAGUGAUGAAGUGUGCGAGGAGAGAUACGUUCAGUGCACCAAACCACCCUGCCGGAAGGCGCCACAAUGUGUCUAUAAAAGAAGAGGCUAACAAGCUGAACACACCCAUUCAUUCGAAACCCAGUGGUACAAGAUCCCAUUCGCUGGAAAGAAGAACGUCCGAUCCGACCAGAAAGGCUUUUUUUUACUGCACUAACCAUUAAGACACAACCUUGUCCUUGUUCUGUACGUUUCUAAUUAAGAUGGGCCACCUGAGCUUUGGGGGCACAUAUAUGAAGAAAACUUGGUGAUGUCAAUAGACAAUCAGGUAACGCUUGAGUAUAUAUAUAUAUGAAUGGCCCAAUAAACCAAGGACGCGCCACGCUGUUUGCGCAAAGUUUUACUCUCAUCGGCACCGGCAGCCUUAUAUGAUACGUUACAUUCAUGCUACGUGACAUUAGCAGCGGCGGAAAUAGAUGCGUGGGCGUGCUAUACGUAUUGCACAAAGUUUUUUUGGAAAUAUACGCAUAACGACCUUUUG